AAAAAUAUUUGGUCUCGUGCCAAAUUUACACCUGUGUGCACCAUUGUCUGUAUUUGGUAGCUCGAGCGCGCUCCGGAAGCUCAACACUUCCAUUAGGGGCGCCUACCCUUGCGGGUCACAUCCCGCUUGGGUUGGGCUACCACCUUUUUUUUGAAAAACCUUUUUUGUUUUGUCUUUUUGUCUGAACGAAGAGUUGAUCUUAAUUGAUUAAUGAUUUGAAAA
rnacentral:misc_RNA from 1 species